AUACGGAGGGGGCUAGCGUUGUUCGGAAUUACUGGGCGUAAAGCGUACGUAGGCGGACUGAUCAGUUGGGGGUGAAAUCCCAGGGCUUAACCCUGGAACUGCCUUCAAUACUGUCAGUCUUGAGAUUGGAAGAGGCGAGUGGAAUUCCUAGUGUAGAGGUGAAAUUCAUAGAUAUUAGGAGGAACACCAGUGGCGAAGGCGGCUCACUGGUCCAAUACUGACGCUGAGGUACGAAAGCGUGGGGAGCAAACAGGAUUAGAUACCCUUGUAGUCC
rnacentral:rRNA from 1 species